GAGUUUAAUCAUGGCUCAGAUUGAACGCUGGCGGCAUGCCUUACACAUGCAAGUCGAACGGCAGCACGGGAGCUUGCUCCUGGUGGGCGAGUGGCGAACGGGUGAGUAAUGCAUCGGAACGUAUCCUGGAGUGGGGGAUAACGUAGCGAAAGUUACGCUAAUACCGCAUAUUCUGUGAGCAGGAAAGCGGGGGACCUUCGGGCCUCGCGCUCUUGGAGCGGCCGAUGUCGAAUUAGCUAGUUGGUGAGGUAAAGGCUCACCAAGGCGACGAUCCGUAGCAGGUCUGAGAGGAUGAUCUGCCACACUGGAACUGAGACACGGUCCAGACUCCUACGGGAGGCAGCAGUGGGAAUUUUGGACAAUGGGGGCAACCCUGAUCCAGCCAUGCCGCGUGAGUGAAGAAGGCC
rnacentral:rRNA from 1 species